GGUCGACUUUCUCCCGAUUUGUCUUAAUAGUGGUUUAUAACCCUUACCUAUUAUUUUAACAUUAUAUUUUCUUGAGUGUGAUCACAUGAUCAUAUCCGAGGGAAAAGGUGGAAGACAUUUUUAUGUAAUCUAAAACCACCAGUUAAAACUUCACUCUAGUGGUCAAUAUUGCACCAGUAGGGUGAGAGAGGAUUGAAGGAAGAGAAAGAGAAAAGGGGACUCAAUUCCACAAAUUGAUCCUUCGAUUGAGAUUCACUCUGGGAUACCAGUUAUUUCUUCUGCAUAAUUUGAUUAUGAACUUCUAACCUUAUUAAAAGAAGUGAACUUGGAAACUGUCUUGAAUUAUAAAUUUAUCUUGUGUAUUGGUUUACAACACCCGUAACCAAUGGUUACAAAUGGCGCCCAACGUAAAUUAUCCACAGAUGUAGGAAUCUGAUCAGACAAGCGCAUUCUUCAAGACCAUCGUCACCGGUAUACAGGCCUAGGCUCCAACUUGUACAUGUACAGGACAUCACGACUUAUCCGAAGGAUUUCUUCUAGAACCAACACUUCAUGUGGACAUUUAUUAACGCACAAAACUAUUGUGCAAUUAGGACUUGAAACAGUGUUAUUAUUUUAAUAAAUAUAUUGUGUUCUGGUGGCCAGAAAAAGAAAAACAGCAGAUUUCACCAGUAGGGUGAGAGAGGAUUGAAGGAAGAGAAAGAGAAAAGGGGACUCAAUUCCACAAAUUGAUCCUUCGAUUGAGAUUCACUCUGGGAUACCAGUUAUUUCUUCUGCAUAAUUUGAUUAUGAACUUCUAACCUUAUUAAAAGAAGUGAACUUGGAAA